rnacentral:rRNA from 1 species
UACAUGGGGUGCAAACGUUGCUCGGAAUCACUGGGCGUAAAGGGUGCGUAGGCGGGUCUUUAAGUCAGGGGUGAAAUCCUGGAGCUCAACUCCAGAACUGCCUUUGAUACUGAGGAUCUUGAGUUCGGGAGAGGUGAGUGGAACUGCGAGUGUAGAGGUGAAAUUCGUAGAUAUUCGCAAGAACACCAGUGGCGAAGGCGGCUCACUGGACACGUAUUGACGCUGAGGUGCGAAAGCGUGGGGAGCAAACAGG